GACGAACGCUGGCGGCGUGCCUAAUACAUGCAAGUCGAACGCAGUGGGGACGGGUGAGUAACACGUGGGUAACCUCCCAUCAGAGGGGAUAACACUUGGAAACAGGUGCUAAACCGAUACUGAUGGAUGGACCCGCGGUGCAUUAGCUAGUUGGUGAGGUAACGGCUCACCAAGGCCACGAUGCAUAGCCGACCUGAGAGGGGGAUAGGCCACAGGGGGACGGAGACACGGCCAAGACGACUACGGGAGGAAGGAGGAGGGAAUCUUCGGAAAUGGACUAAAUGCUGACCUAUCAACGCAGCGUGAGUGAAGAAGGUUUUCGGAUCGUAAAAUUCGGUGGUUAGAGAAGAGGUAUCUAACCAGAAAGCCACGGCGAACUACGGGCCAGCAGCCGAGUGAUUAC
rnacentral:rRNA from 1 species